rnacentral:rRNA from 1 species
GACAGAGGUGCCAAGCGUUAGGCGGAAUCACUGGGCUUAAAGCGUGUGUAGGCGGACCUGUAAGUGCCUUGUGAAAUCCCAUGGCUCAACCAUGGAACGGUUGGGCAUACUGCGGGUCUUGAGCUGUCUAGGGGCAACCGGAACAAACGGUGGAGCGGUGAAAUGCGUAGAUAUCGUUUGGAACGCCAAAGGUGAAAACAGGUUGCUGGGGACAUGCUGACGCUGAGACACGAAAGCCAGGGGAGCGAACGGG